rnacentral:snRNA from 1 species
GCAUGUAAGGGCACCUGGCUGGCUGCGACAUCUGUCACCCCAAGGACCCACCUCUGAUCUGGCUGGCUGGGCGGGUGCCCAUCCUUCCCUCCCUGCUUCCUGUGUGUCCCUCCUGAAACUGUGCACUCGGUCUAAGGGACAGACCCAGGCCGAUCCUCAGGGGAGGUGUGAGUGG